UCGGGAAUUUUGGGCAAUGGGGGAAACCCUGACCCAGCAACGCCGCGUGAAGGAUGAAGUAUUUCGGUAUGUAAACUUCGAAAGAAUAGGAAGAAUAAAUGACGGUACUAUUUAUAAGGUCCGGCUAACUACGUGCCAGCAGCCGCGGUAAUACGUAGGGACCAAGCGUUGUUCGGAUUUACUGGGCGUAAAGGGCGCGUAGGCGGCAUGACAAGUCACUUGUGAAAUCUCUGGGCUUAACCCAGAACGGCCAAGUGAUACUGUCGCGCUAGAGUGCAGAAGGGGCAAUCGGAAUUCUUGGUGUAGCGGUGAAAUGCGUAGAUAUCAAGAGGAACACCUGAGGUGAAGACGGGUUGCUGGGCUGACACUGACGCUGAGGCGCGAAAGCCAGGGGAGCAAACGGGGAUUAGAUACCCCAGUAGUCCCUGAGCGGGCUGGCAAGGCGCAU
rnacentral:rRNA from 1 species